ACCAGACUCCUACGGGAGGCAGCAGUGGGGAAUAUUGCACAAUGGGGGAAACCCUGAUGCAGCGACGCCGCGUGGAGGAAGAAGGUCUUCGGAUUGUAAACUCCUUUCCUUGGGGACGAUAAUGACGGUACCCAAGGAGGAAGCACCGGCUAACUACGUGCCAGCAGCCGCGGUAAAACGUAGGGUGCAAGCGUUGUCCGGAAUCAUUGGGCGUAAAGAGUUCGUAGGCGGUAUGUUAAGUCUGGUGUUAAAUGCAGAAGCUCAACUUCUGUUCGGCACUGGAUACUGGCAAACUAGAAUGCGGUAGAGGUAAAGGGAAUUCCUGGUGUAGCGGUGAAAUGCUUAGAUAUCAGGAGGAACAUCGGUGGCGUAAGCGCUUUACUGGGCCGUAAUUGACGCUGAGGAACGAAAGCCAGGGUAGCAAAUGGGAUUAGAUACCCCGGUA
rnacentral:rRNA from 1 species